GAUGAAGAACGUAGCGAAAUGCGAUAAGUAGUGUGAAUUGCAGAAUUCCGUGAAUCAUCGAAUCUUUGAACGCACAUUGCGCCCUCUGGUAUUCCGGGGGGCAUGCCUGUUCGAGCGUCAUUACAACCCUCAAGCUUUGCUUGGUAUUGGACAUUGCCAGUUUCUGGCAGGUCUUAAAAUCAGUGGCGGUGCCAUUUGGCUUCAAGCGUAGUAAUUCUUCUCGCUUUGGAGAUCCAAGUGGUUACUUGCCAAUAACCCCCAAUUUUUUCAGGUUGACCUCGGAUCAGGUAGGGAUACCCGCUGAACUUAAGCAUAUCAAUAAGCGGAGGA
rnacentral:misc_RNA from 1 species